UCGUACACAUUCAUAUACAAUCCCAGACAAACAGCUAUUGGAACUGAAGACGCAUUCAGCGGAAUUGGUGGUGGUGUAUAGCGUAGCUUGACUAAUUAGGCCAGCAUUUACUGUGGUUAACGUGCAAUUUAUUCAAAGUGCAAGGAGGGAGAUGAUGUGUUUUCCCUAGCUGAGGGAGGAUCCCCAGGAGAUCAUACCAGCACUGACCAUGGAUAGGAACAACUCAGGGACAGCUCAGCAUCAUCUGCCGUUCCCUUUGCAUCAAGCUGGUGGAUACCGUGGCUGCAGAUAUAAACAAAAAUGUAAAAGGGUUACCUGAGCAAUGAUUCAGGAGAAGACUCUAAUGAGGGCAUCUCAAUGGCAUUUACUCUGCAGAGAAAGGGUGAAGUUUUCCCCCUGCUUCACUGAAUAGCUUUAAUACUGGGAAAACUCUUGAUACAUCUUUGACUCUCCUGCUUGGCAAACACUCCAGCUCCUGAGCAAUGGGAAGAACGAUGGAAAGGCACUUCUGUCUUCAAAUCAAGCCGGGAACUCUUCGGAGGUUGCAUAGAUCUGCUCUAGAAGUGAGUAAAGUUAUUUUGUUCUCUCUGCAGAUGGGAUUCCCAGAGAACAGGCAGCCCUUAGUACAGUGCUCACUACUUAAAGCUGAAGAGAAACAGAAUUAGUGGUUUGAAGAGGCAACUAUGCAACCACAGAGAAGGCUAUAAAAUAAAUUCACAAAAAUUGUGAGCCUAUGUGCAGGGAGUUGUAAUGCUUCAAUGCAGAAUUAGGGUCCAUAUUUUUUUUUAAGUGUUUUCUGUGAAAAAAACUAUUGAGAAGCAAAAUAUUAAGAAGGAUGUUAGGGCUGAACCACUGUAGUGAUUUUUCUCCAUGACUUUAUUAUAGUAACCAUAUCCUCAGUAACCGUAGAAUGUAAAGAGUCCAAGUGGUGCUGAACCAGCAGGAGAACAGCUGAAAUGCCUCAGACACAGGCUCUGUUGCUUCAGCUAUUGCCAAGGGGAGAUAUUUGGCUUGUCAGAGAAGUUUGUAUAUAAAUCGAGUGAGGUUAUUUGUGUUUCAGUGUUACUUAAAAGUUAAACAGCCCUUUUAAAAGGAGAUUUAAGUAAAAUCAACACAUGCAUUCCACCCUCCUCCCAAUGGGGAAGCAAUUAGAAAAGCAAGGGAAGCAUUCCCAAACAGCAUUGCUUAACAGACAGUUUUGAAGAGCUUUUUUUUUUUUUUUUUCCUAAAAAUAAUAGUGACUUGAUGUCUUUUUUUGUCUUUAUAUCUCACUCCCUAGUGGUUUAAGCAUAGACAACCAUGUAUGAAUCUUCUAUUUUGUCACAUUUUCUGAGAGUGUUGCUACUGUUAUUUUUUUCCUGUUCUGUAAUAGGAAAAAGAUACAGAAGAUAAUGUGUUUGCCUAUUUAUACCUCACAUAUUCCCAGGAGCUCAAUAAGAAACAAAAGCUUCCAGAAAUACAACUUCACAUUUUUAAGCAUUUCUCAACUGGAUCUUUCCUAGAUAAUUUUCUGAACAUUUGUAGGCAGUCCAAUCUGGUCACUGAAGGUGAAGGCUGACAGUUUUACAGUCAGAAAUUAUGGAUUUUGUUCGUACAAUCAGAUGAUGUUCAAAGCUUAUACAGAAGUGAAGGGAUGGAAUUCUGUGCCUCAUGGUAUGAAGGAAGGUGGAAGAACAGAUCUUAGUGGUUUGCUAUGCUAUUAAAUUUUGGUUUUGAGGAUCUGUCAGUCAGACUUUAGAAUAUCAUGUCAGGUUCCCAGAAGAUGAGAAAUAUAUAAGUAGUAGUCCUUUGUGCUUUUAUUUUUAUUUCUAUUUUUUAAAUAUGUAUUUUACCAUCACAUGAGUCAUCUGUGGCAGAGCAGGUUUCCUCUCCUAUGCCCUACAUAGCUUCCAACCCCUUGUACAUGUGAAAUUGGGGUUUUAUAGAAAACUUCCUUCCACCUGGCAGGAAUUUCAGAGCAGGACCAUUCCAGCACUGAAUGAGAUGGAUAAUAUUGCAAAAAUUUUAGUCACGUAUCACGCCCUGUCCUUGAAACACUCUUUGUUUCUAAUUUUGUUUCUUUGUUCCCCUGGCCCUUGUUACUCUCAGUCCAGGUUUCCAAACUUUAAAUUCCUUAUCUUUGUCCCAACCUAUUUACCCAACAAGUCUAGCCUGACUGCCCUGAUCCCCUGUCCUGCUCAGUUCUCCUUUCUAUGUGAGUUCUUACUGCUUGCCACCUCUAAGAUAUCGUCUGGAAAAUCACUUUGUAAGUUGAAUGAGUCAAACCUGAAAUUUCAGUUGAGAUUUUAAGUUGAAUUCUUACUUAAUGUUCUCAUAUGCAGUAGAAUUAUCAUGUGACUGAACUUAUCACCAAACUGUUUACUGUGGACAUUGCACUAGCUAUGUCACUUCUCCAUCACCCUUUCUCUCUGGUUCCCAAGGGAAACAUGAUCAUAUAAUGCCCCCUUUUCUCAUCAGUUAACCAAGUUCAGUGGACACUUCUGCAAUACUCACUAUGAAAUGUGUGCUUUUGACAUUUGUGCCUUGAUUCUUGAAGAGACUAUCAACAGACUGGAUUUCAACAAAGUGUACCUCAGCAAGUACCUUUAGCUGUCACUGUUAGUAAAAUAUUCUAACUUGGAUAAUUUCAUUUCAGCCCCUUUGUAAAAACAGAUCUCUUUUUCAGCCCUUUUCUCCCUUGGGAUCACGAUGAUGUAAAUGUGAACAAUACUCUGUGCAUUUAUGCAUGUGCAUGUCUCAGAGCCUAGAGACAGAAUUUCCCAUAAACAUCUCCUAGUUUCAAACAAAAACAGGUUUUCACAUUAAAAGCUGCUUUUAUGUUUGUGAGGAAGUGCUGUCUGAGCUGGAUAUGCUCAGGCAAGAGCACUUCAUUAGGUAAUUCUUCUCUCAACUGUGCACUUAUGAAAGAUUUCCGUUUGACCUCAGAGAAGGAUGUACAUAUGUGAAGCCAAUGAGCUCUUGCAGUCCCAGGAGUUAUCCUUUUGGAAACUAUUAGAAAUUAGAGUAAUAAACACAAUAUUUGUAAAGCUGCUUUUUGAGGUUAAUAGCUAAAGGCCAUUUGAAAUCCCUGCUCCAUUUUCCAUUAUAUCACACUUAAAAUAGAGUGGUGUGGUAUAUAGUCCCUAUGGAGAGAGGUGCUAGCCAUAAAUCCAUAACUUGAGCUGUCAGUUCAGGGGACUGAAAAGCACUGUUUGGAUAGCCAGUACAGAUGGGUCUGUAGUUAUAACAGUGUAAUGAUAAACCAAUAGCAAAGCAGCUGUUCCUCCUCCCUUCCACAACACCUACCCAACCUUUCUCAGGUUUUCCAUGCUGCAAGCUGUAUCAUAAACACUACAGAGAGCAGAGAUGUUGCAACAGCAAUGAUGGCCAGUGCUGCAGCUUGAGUUCGGCAAGAACUACUAGUUAGCUGUAAGUGUAUGCAGUUGGGUGGGUUUGACUGGCUCAGUCAGCAUGCUUUAUUUGACUUCUUAAGAGAAGACUACAGCCAGUUUCAUUUGCAAACAGCAGCUCAAAUUGUCUAUUCCUUUACAGCAUUCACAAAAGCCCUGUAUCGUCUGCAGAUAUUAUGACUUUAUUUGCAGGCUGGCACUUGGAAGUUGUAUUUCAGUUAUUGUUUCCUAGCUUCAUGUCAUCAGUUUUAAGAUUUCAUUCUGCCUGGAAUAGAAAUGUUAUUUUAUCUAAUGGGAUCUAUAUUUUAGACGUAAAUAACAGAAACUAAAGAGAUCCUGGAUGUCACUUUCAUUUUUUUUAUAUAUAUAUUUUUUAUUUUUCCAGACAAUUCAGUGCACCAGAGACACUGGUAAUUCUGUGAGCUUCCUUCUCACCCUGGUGUUUAUGCUAGACAGCCUAGGCUAAUGGUUUAUAGCAAACAGUAAUCGGUUUCUAGAUUGAAGGCGAAAAAAUGCAGAUAGUAUAAGUGUAAAGAAGAUUGUUUUUCUAGCGUCAUUGCAAAUAGUGUAACUGCUGGACAGUGGCCAAUCAGUAACAUAUUGGGAGUUUUUAUCUUUAUAUGCUGAUGGCAUCUUAGACCAAUUUAAAAUGCCAAUAAUUGGGCUUUUGUCUAUUUAAAACAUGGCUGAAGACUAAUGAACAACCAACCCCACAGACCUUUUAAAACUGCAGGUAUCUUCAGCCUGUUGAAAAAUAAAUCCACAGUUUUAAUAUCCAGAGUGAUUUUCUUCACGCUUAAAAAAAAAUUGUAAAAACAUAAAAUCCAACCCCAUAUUCCUCAUCUUAAUAUGUGUGAGUUAUUCUUGAACAUGCAAGAUUAUGCUCUUUAUUCCUAGUCCAUAUCUGACAACCUCUUUUGUGAUAGGCCUGGUGAUAUUAUUCUUGCUGCUAUUUUGACCUGCUGUUAUUCAGGAGUAGUCUGGCUACAGCAGCCCAGCCCAUUUUACAUUAAGAAAGACUGUGAUUUUUAAAGAUGAACUCUCUGAGUUCUUUUUAAACCCUCUGUCUUGAAAACUCUAGGUUGUGCUUUUGCUAUAAUAGAACAAAUGUUGCUGAUGUGUUGGUUUUGUGUUUGUUUUUUUUUUUUUAAUACAAUGUUUUCCAAAUAAAUAACAAAAUUCCGCAUGGAUACUAGAGCCUUCGAAGUACUGCUAAACAUCCGGAUUGUCUCUGUAGACUGCACCAUGUAGUAAAUAAAAUAUCUGGAUCAGUGCUGUGUCUGUCUCCCAGAUAUAUUCAAAACACCAGCUUUUCUUGGAGAACAUUUGGUAAAAGUUUCCUUCAUUGCUUUAAGCCAAUUCCCAUGUGGAUAUUACUUUCUCAGAUAGAUGUGAAAGUAUUCAGAUUAGAACAAAGUGAAGUUGUCAACAUGUGAGCGUAGAACAAAGUAUUGCAUCAUAAUUGUAUGUGUAGGAUGAGGAAAAUUUCAAUAACGUCAUAAAUUUUAAUUCUUUUUUUUUUCUUCCACAUUCUUACCUUCAAUAGAAUAUUGAAGUUCUGGUCCCUUCUCUGGACCAGAAGACCUUUUUUUUCCCUAACAAACAGUAUUUAUGCUACUGAAUUCACUCAACAGUUCUCUGUUACCUAAGCAGACAAAUGCCUGUCACAUAAGUACAAAAUACAGCCAACAAAACUAAGACCUUUAUUGUUAUUUCCAAUUCAACAGCUUUACGUCAGUGCAAUUUUAUGUAGAAAAAGCAUUGCACUAAGUAAAAAGUACCGUGCAUGCAGUGUAAAGAAUGGUCUGAACUAAGUAAACUCUUUUUGUGGAUUCGUGAGUAGUUAUUGUAGGGUCAUAAUGAACUAUUUGUCAGUUAGUUCUCCAUUAUAAGAAAAUGCAUUCUGACAUAUAAAUUGUACACUGAGAGUAGGUUAAAUGCGUAUAUGGCUGCUUAAUGGUUAUAGUUUGCCUAAAUUUCUAUUUUUUAAUGCUUAUAUGUUCUGGAUUUUUAAAUUGUUUGAUUUUAUUAUUAUUAUUAUAUAUUUUUUUUAUAUCAGUAAUUUAUUCAGGAAAAGUGACACAUAAAAAUAAGCCGAACUUUUCUGGAAACUUUGAUGCCCCAUUCCAUGUUACCUAACCAGACUGCAACUCAUAUGGGGCCACCUCUAAAAAAAAUUCUUUUUGCUAGGCAAUGGCAGGCCCUACUUGGGAUGCCUGUCACAGAAAUUUUCUUAGCAUUUACAAAAGUUCUUCUGUAACGUGUCCUGCUGUGUCUUUUGUUACAAUUUGUGUCUUCAGCAGGUGGCUAAUGAUGGCCCACCCAAUAUUAUUGUUAAUGAUGAUUUUUUACCAUAUUAGAUUAAUUGCAUGAAAAGACUCUUGUACUAAAUUGCAGUUGAUACUGACCCAGGCAACAAGUGCCAGUGAUAACUUGUUUAAUAUGUAAAGAGAAGUUCACUUGACAUUUUAUAGAAAACAUGUAUUCUGUAUUUUUAUAGUUUAUUGCUGUUUGUUUUCUAAUUUAUCUCUGGCAAUGUGAUCUUCCAAAGAAAUGAAAGGGACUCACUGAAUUACACAUUCUCUGCAGUUGCAUUGUCUUCUGAUGCAAUCCCACAGAAUAAUAUGAUCCAUUGCUUUUAUUUGUGUCAAUUUUAUUGCAUUAUAUUAUGUCAUGAACAUGGUUUGCGGUUGAAAAGGGAAUUGCACUGCCACAGUAUGACGGUGGGAAAAUAAUUAGGAGAUAAAUUAUGAACAUCCUUUAUUAUGGUCUAAUAGCCAUGCUAAUAGUCUUGUUUUAUAUUUAAAUGUAAAAGCUACUUUAAGGGGCAAUACCUUCUGAUAUUUUAUUUUAUUUUAUUAUCUUAUUUUAUUUUAUUUUAUUUUAAAUCAAGAUGCUGUUAUAACUGACAUAACUUGUAAAUUAUAUAAAUUGGUUGUCUACCACAAGCCUAGGCUUUGAAACACAAAUAGUAAGAGCCUUGACUGGGGAAGCAUAAAUCGCCAUUGCUUUUAGUGUUGGCAUAACCCUUUGUACCUGGUGAAACAAUAUAAUAUUUUUUGAAUUUAAGAAGCUUUUCACUUUUGUUUGCAGUGGGGAUAUUACAGUUCAUAUAGAUGACAGCAGUGGAUUUUCACCCAAAUAUGCAUAUGUGAAUAAAAGAGAGAGGGGGAAAAAAAGACGCUGUUAGAACAUGUCACUGGUAAAUAUGGCCCAGGAGAAGGGACAGAACCAGUGUAACCCUACACUUCGAAAGGGCACUCUUCUGCCUGUCCUCCCAACCAUCUGUUCAUCCAUCUGAGGAAGCCCAGGCGGUUUUAUUUCUUUGUUUCCAGUGUGUUUGGAAAAAGAACUGAAGAGGGAUGAAUGGCUUUUGUAUGAAAUUUUCUUUUAAGAAAAUAACUGCAAAUUGCCGUCAUUAUUAAUACUAGUAAUCCAAAUCUAAUCAAGGAAAAGUAAGAACAAACAUUCACUUUAUAUCCUGCAAUCUAUAUUGGGGCUAAAAAACAAGAAUUCUUUUUAAUAUGUGGUUGGCACUCGUUUUCAUUUUCUUGAUUUUCUUGUUUGUUUAGAGAUUAUGGAAAGAGGUAAGCUAUCUUAGGAAAGAGGAAAACUCAGUUGUCAUCCUGGAUAUGCAGAACAGAAUGUGAAGUCCAGGCUGAAAAAUGUCAGAGUAAGGGCUCCUGUGUCUGAGAUGGGUGCCUCUACAAGAGGUACUAUAGUCUGUUACUUUCUCAGGUUUAUAAUUGGGAUUUCUCCAGUAUGGUUGCAGCUUUAUUCCUGACUGCUGAUGAUGCUGGAUAUUCAGUGUCAUAUUGGCCAGUACGUUCAACUUGCCACAUUAAUGUAUGUCUUUGCUUAAAUUGUUAUGCCAGGUGAUGGUAAAAGUAGGGGAAAUUGAAUACACUGUUGUGUAGUUAUUCAUUUUCCACAGCCAAAAUAUUUAUGCUCAACCAGGUUAUUUGCUUUCAUUUAAACUGCAAUUAUAUUUUAUAGAUCAGGAAAAAAAAUGUUGGAAGUACAAUUUCUGAACUUGGAACAUGAAUGAAUACAUAAAUUGUGGUAAUUUUGUUCAUGCUGAAUGGUAUUUUACUUCACACUGUAAGAUGCUACUUAAUGCAAGCAACAGCAUCAUAUUCUGGUCCAGUACUGAUUGACAUGAUUUAUUUGAAAGUCACAUACAGAAAACCCACAUAUUAAUCCU